GAACUGAAGAGUUUGAUCAUGGCUCAGAUUGAACGCUGGCGGCAGGCCUAACACAUGCAAGUCGAGCGGAUGAAGGGGGCUUGCUCCUGGAUUCAGCGGCGGACGGGUGAGUAAUGCCUAGGAAUCUGCCUGGUAGUGGGGGAUAACGUCCUGGUAGUGGGGGAUAACGUCCGGAAACGGGCGCUAAUACCGCAUACGUCCUGAGGGAGAAAGUGGGGGAUCUUCGGACCUCACGCUAUCAGAUGAGCCUAGGUCGGAUUAGCUAGUUGGUGGGGUAAAG
rnacentral:rRNA from 1 species